rnacentral:rRNA from 1 species
UAGGGAAUCUUCCGCAAUGGACGAAAGUCUGACGGAGCAACGCCGCGUGAACGAUGAAGGCUUUCGGGUCGUAAAGUUCUGUUGUUAGGGAAGAACAAGUACCAGAGUAACUGCUGGUACCUUGACGGUACCUAACCAGAAAGCCACGGCUAACUACGUGCCAGCAGCCGCGGUAAUACGUAGGUGGCAAGCGUUGUCCGGAAUUAUUGGGCGUAAAGCGCGCGCAGGUGGUUCUUUAAGUCUGAUGUGAAAGCCCACGGCUCAACCGUGGAGGGUCAUUGGAAACUGGGGAACUUGAGUGCAGAAGAGGAAAGUGGAAUUCCACGUGUAGCGGUGAAAUGCGUAGAGAUGUGGAGGAACACCAGUGGCGAAGGCGACUUUCUGGUCUGUAACUGACACUGAGGCGCGAAAGCGUGGGGAGCGAACA